UACGUAGGCAGCGAGCGUUGUUCGGAGUUACUGGGCGUAAAGCGCACGUAGGCGGGUCCUUAAGUCAGGGGUGAAAUCCCGGAGCUCAACUCCGGAACUGCCUUUGAUACUGGGGAUCUUGAGUCCGGAAGAGGUGAGUGGAACUCCGAGUGUAGAGGUGAAAUUCGUAGAUAUUCGGAAGAACACCAGUGGCGAAGGCGGCUCACUGGUCCGGUACUGACGCUGAGGUGCGAAAGCGUGGGGAGCAAACAGG
rnacentral:rRNA from 1 species